rnacentral:rRNA from 1 species
AUUGAACGCUGGCGGCAUGCUUUACACAUGCAAGUCGAACGGCAGCGCGGGCUUCGGCCUGGCGGCGAGUGGCGAACGGGUGAGUAAUGCAUCGGAACGACCCCAGUAGGGGGGGAUAGCCCGGCGAAAGCCGGAUUAAUACCGCAUACGACGUGAGGGGUAAAGCGGGGGACCGAAAGGCCUGGCGCUAUUGUAGCGGCCGAUGUCGGAGUUGCUAGUUGGUGGGGUAAAGACUGUCCCAGCCGAGGAUCCGUAGCUGGUCUGAGAGGACGACAGGCCACACUGGGACUGGGACAGGGCCCCGACUCCUGCGGGAGGCAGCAGUGGGGAAUUUUGGACAAUGGGGGCAACCCUUAUCCAGCCGUGGCGCGUGCGGGAAGAAGGCCUUCGGGUUGUAAACAGGUUUUGUUCGGGAAGAACUCCUCUGGGCUAAUACCCCGGGGGGAUGACGGUACCGGAAGAAUAAGCACCGGCUAACUACGUG